rnacentral:rRNA from 1 species
GAUGAACGCUGGCGGCGUGCUUAACACAUGCAAGUCGAACGGAAAGGCUCUGGCUUGCAGGGGUACUCGAGUGGCGAACGGGUGAGUAACACGUGGGUGAUCUGCCCUGCACUUCGGGAUAAGCCUGGGAAACUGGGGCUAAUACCGGAUAGGAGGAUGGGUUGGAUGGCAGGGGGGGAAGUUUUUUCGGGGUGGGAUGAGCUCGCGGGGUAUCAGCUUGUUGGUGGGGGAGAGGCGUACCAAGGGGUCGACGGGUAGCCGGCCUGGGAGGGGGUACGGCCACAUUGGGACUGAGUUACGGCCCAGACUCCUACGGGAGGCAGCAGUGGGGAAUAUUGCACAAUGGGCGCAAGCCUGAUGCAGCGACGCCGCGUGGGGGAUGACGGCCUUCGGGUGGUAAACGCCUUUCGCUAGGGACGAAGCGCAAGUGACGGUACCGGUAAAAGAGGCACCGCCAAAUUCCUG